UACGAGGGGGCGAGCGUUGUUCGGAAUUAUUGGGCGUAAAGGGUGCGUAGGCGGUUUGGUAAGUCUUUUGUGAAAUCUCUGGGCUCAACUCAGAGUCUGCAAGGGAAACUGCCGGGCUGGAGUGUGGGAGAGGUGAGUGGAAUUUCCGGUGUAGCGGUGAAAUGCGCAGAUAUCAGGAAGAACACCCGUGGCGAAGGCGGCUCUCUGGGACGGUACUGACGCUGAGACGCGAAAGCGUGGGGAGCGAACAGG
rnacentral:rRNA from 1 species